GAGUGGCGCACGGGUGAGUAACACGUGGGUAACCUGCCCUCGAGUUCGGGAUACCCUCUCGAAAGGGAGGCUAAUACCGGAUACGUUCCUCGGGUCGCGAGGCCUGGGGAAGAAAGGUGGCGAAAGCUGCCGCUCUUGGAGGGGCUCGCGGCCUAUCAGCUAGUUGGUGAGGUAACGGCUCACCAAGGCGAUGACGGGUAGCUGGUCUGAGAGGACGACCAGCCACACGGGGACUGAGACACGGCCCCGACUCCUACGGGAGGCAGCAGUGGGGAAUUGUUCGCAAUGGGCGCAAGCCUGACGACGCAACGCCGCGUGGAGGAUGAAGAUCUUCGGGUCGUAAACUCCUUUCGAUCGAGACGAAUUCCUCUGGGGUGGACAAUCCCGGAGGUUGACGGUACCGAGAGAAGAAGCCCCGGCUAACUCCGUGCCAGCAGCCGCGGUAAUACGGGGGGGGCAAGCGUUGUUCGGAAUUACUGGGCGUAAAGGGCUCGUAGGUGGCCAACUAAGUCGGACGUGAAAUCCCUCGGCUUAACCGGGGAACUGCGUCCGAUACUGGUUGGCUUGAGUUUGGGAGAGGGAUGCGGAAUUCCAGGUGUAGCGGUGAAAUGCGUAGAUAUCUGGAGGAACACCGGUGGCGAAGGCGGCAUCCUGGACCAAUAC
rnacentral:rRNA from 1 species